rnacentral:tRNA from 1 species
GGCCCCUUAGCUCAGCGGUCAGAGCAGGCGACUCAUAAUCGCUUGGUCCCCCGUUCAAACCGGGGAGGGGCCACCA